CUCAAGUUUGAGAUUUUCUCGAGACUAAUCACCAAAUUGCAGGCAGCCAUAUCGAGGUCACCUCUUGACUUUGACUUUCUCGAAUUUACCUGUCGACAAGAGCUGUACCUCCUUGAAGCCCUGUCAAGGCAUGUGAAUGUACCUGAACCAAUUCUACAAGCGUUUCAACACCUUUUCAGGCUAGUGAUGAGUCACAGUAACUGUACAGAUGGUACUGUUGCAACUAUUGCUGGAGAAACAGGGCGUCCCAGAUAUGAUAUUGAUCAGGAAAUACUUGAAGAGCUUUUGGACGUGAAUUUGCCUGUGUCAUGCAUUGCAAAAUUACUUGGAGUCUCCAGAAGUACCAUUAACAGACGAAUGAGGGAAUUUGGUGUCAGUGCACGACAGACAUACAGCACCCUGACAGACGAAGAGCUUGAUGAUGCAGUCAUUCGCAUCAAGAAUGAAAUGCCCUCUUCAGGAUAUCGGAUGGUUAAAGGAAGGCUGAGGUCAACUGGUAUCCAUGUGCAGUGGAGGAGGGUGAUUGCAUCAAUGCACAGAGUCGACUCAAUCAGAAUUCUCUUCAGACUGGAUUGGGGAGCAUUGUAAGAAGAACAUAUUCUGUAAAGGGGCCACUUUCCCUUUGGCAUGUGGACACUAACCACAAACUGAUUCGGUACAAUAUUGUUAUUUUCGGAGCAGUUGAUGGCUACUCGAGGAAGGUGAUGUGCUUGGAGGCCGCAACGAACAAUCGUGCAUCAACGGCAUUUGCUGCCUUCAAAAAAGCCACUAAAAAAAAUGGCAUACCUUCC